CACAGAAGUCUAUUCAUUAUGUAAGGCUUUUCUAUCAUCACCACAAAAGACUUCCUGUGUAUGGGUGGACUUCAAAAGUCUUUCAGUGACUUAAAAGCGAUCAUCUUCAUUCUUAAAAACUCCUAUUUUAAUUUGUUACUGUUUUUUACCAUUCAAGCAUUUUCCUAUGGCCUUAAUUCCAAUUUGUCUCAUCUCUCUAGCCAUGUUGCUACAUUUUGUAGCAGCACAGCAGACUAAUGGUUCUGUAUCUGUUGGUGCAUCACUCACAGCUACGCCUGAUGCUAAACCAUGGCUUUCGUCUUCUGGUGAAUUUGCCUUUGGAUUCAAACAAAUUCAAGGAACAGAUAAAUUUUUGUUAUCCAUAUGGUAUGACAAGAUUCCUAAUAAAACCAUCAUCUGGUAUCCAGAAGAUGGUCCAACGGUAGCUACAGGAUCCAAAGUUGACCUUGUUAAUAGGCGUGGGCUCGUACUCAGGGAUCCUCAAGGCAAAGAGGUAUGGAGUUCUGGGUCCAUUUCCGAUCUUGCAAACGGUUAUAUGAAUGAUACUGGUAACUUCGUGAUCGUGGGUAGAAAUUCUUCAAAUAUAUGGGAAAGUUUUGAUCAUCCAGCAGACACCAUAGUGCCUACUCAGGUUGUGGCUAGAGGUGGACCAGCAAUCAACUCCAGAAUGGGCGAAACAAACUUUGCUGGUGGAAAAUUCCAGUUACGUAUGCUUCUAGAUGGAAAUCUUGUUCUUAAUACUCGAGAUAGGUUUACUGGUACUCCUGAUAAUGCUUACUAUAUAAGUAACACUCUUGAUUCCACCAAUUCAACGAAUUCUGGUGACCAGUUGAUCUUUGAUGCAACGGGGUACAUGUAUAUAUUGAGAAGAAAUGGCCAAAGAGUUACUCUUACAGAAGACUCACCUCCUUCUGGAGAUUACUAUCACAGAGCUACUCUUGAUUCUGAUGGGGUUUUUACUCAAUACUACUAUCCAAAGAAUGGCACAGAGACUACAAGCUGGGAAGUUGCAUGGUUUGUUCCAGAAAACAUAUGCACGAGUAGAGACAGCAAAGCAUGUGGGCUAAACAAUGUAUGCAUCCUUGAUAACAAUCGACCAAGCUGUGAAUGCCCACAGGGGUUCUCAUUGAUUGAUCCCAAUACUACAAAUGGUGACUGCAAGCCUAAUUUCACUCCGAGUUGUGAUGAAAACGAGUCAAAUGAAGGGGAAGAUGUGUUUGAUUUCAUAGAGCUCACAAACAUUGAUUGGCCGUUUUCUGACUUUGUGAGCCUGAACCCGAGCGACGAACAAACCUGUAGAACUUCCUGCUUGAAAGAUUGUUUCUGUGCAGUUGCAAUUUACAGGGACAACCAAUGUUGGAAGAAGCAGCUUCCACUUACCAAUGGAUAUAAAGAUCCUGCAUAUAAUGUGAAGGCCCUCCUGAAAUAUAGAAAAAGUGAUGGUCCUUCUGGAACAGGAGAAAAUAGAGAAAAUAGAAGUGGAACUGGAAAAGAUAAAAGCAGAACAAGUUGGAUAUUCGUGGGAUCAGUUCUACUAGGUAUGUCUGCGCUAGUAAUUGUUGUGUUAAUUGUUGUGAUUUAUGUGUGUUUCUUUCAAAUCCAAAAGAAGAAGGUCGGAAAUCCACUUCCAUGUAGUACAAGUGUUGAAACUAACAUACCUCGUUUUACAUAUCAAGAACUAGUCAAUGCUACUGAUGGUUUCAAGAAAGAAUUGGGAAGGGGGGCUUUUGGGAUAGUCUAUAAAGGUGAAAUAGGGACAACAACCGUAGCGGUUAAGAAGCUGGAAACUGUGGUUCAAGAUGUCCAAAAGGAAUUCAAAACUGAGGUCAAUACAAUUGCAAGGACUCAUCACAAGAAUUUGGUGCAGCUUCUUGGCUAUUGUGAUGAUGAUGAGCAGAGGCUAUUGAUCUACGAAUACAUGAGUAACGGCACUUUGGCAGUGUUUCUUUUUGGAGACAAGAAACCUAGUUGGAAACAAAGGACCUAUAUCGCCGUCGGCGUUGCAAAGGGACUCACCUAUCUCCAUGAAGAUUGUAGCAACCGGAUCAUCCACUGUGAUAUAAAGCCUCAGAAUAUACUUCUUGAUGAUUACUACAAUGCUAAGAUUGCUGACUUUGGAUUGGCAAAACUUUUGAUGAUUAAUCAAAGUCGAACGAACACCGGAAUUAGAGGAACAAAAGGAUAUGUUGCUCCUGAAUGGUUUAGGAACACCCCUGUCACGUUCAAGGUUGAUGUCUAUAGCUUUGGUGUCUUGCUAUUCGAGAUCAUUUCAUGCCGAAAGAGUGUCGUUAUUGAUGAUGAUGCCGAAGAUGUGGCUGUUUUAACGGAUUUGGCAUGGGAUUGCUAUCAAGAAGGCAGGCUGGAUGCGUUCGUCGGGAAUGAUAUGGAGGCCUUGGAUGAUUUGGAGAAGCUAACAACAUUUAUGAUGGUUGGUCUUUGGUGUGUACAAGAAAAUCCUUCAAUGAGGCCAACCAUGAAAAAGGUCAUCCAAAUGCUUGAAGGAGAAAUUGAAGUGACCGAACCUCCAUGCCCAUUCCCUUUCUCUGUUACCACCAUCUAGUCUUCAAAUUGAUCUGCCAAAUUUGGGAUAAGAGGGUUAGAAGAAAUGGUGAUAUGAGAAAAAAAAAAAAACAAGUAAGUGAAAGCUCAUGGAGUCUUUUGCAUGAAUCUUUUGGGUGAUGCCUUUUAUUGGGUUUUCUUGUAUUUUUCCAUUUACUUUGGAUGUACAAGUCAAACCAUUGGUUGUUUAAACAUUUUUGUUGGAUGAAUAUUUUGAACUUAUUGUGUUUUAUUUGGGUCAUAUAGACCCUAAACUUGUUCC